rnacentral:rRNA from 1 species
GACGAACGCUGGCGGCGUGCCUAAUACAUGCAAGUAGAACGCUGAAGAGAGGAGCUUGCUCUUCUUGGAUGAGUUGCGCACGGGUGAGUAACGCGUAGGUAACCUGCCUUGUAGCGGGGGAUAACUAUUGGAAACGAUAGCUAAUACCGCAUAACAAUGGAUGACACAUGUCAUUUAUUUGAAAGGGGCAAUUGCUCCACUACAAGAUGGACCUGCGUUGUAUUAGCUAGUAGGUGAGGUAAUGGCUCACCUAGGCGACGAUACAUAGCCGACCUGAGCGGGUGGUCGGCCACCCUGGGACUGUGACCCGGCCCAGACUCCUUCGGGAGGCAGCCGUAGUGAAUCUGCGGCCAUGGGGGCAACCCUUACCGCGCUACGCCGCGUGAGUGAAGAAGGUUUUCGGGUCGUAAAGCUCUGUUGUAAGUCAAGAACGGGUGUGAGAGUGGAAAGUUCACACUGUGACGGUAGCUUACCAGAAAGGGACGGCUAACUACGUG